CCCUACCAUCCACCGCUUUGACCGAGUUGUGAGGGAGAGCAAAUCCCCAACGCCUCUCCUCCCUAUCCUGUUGGUGCACGACCACCCCUCGUCCCCCUCAUCUCCGCCGCCGACCGUGAGGCCUCCAUGGACGGCGCUGCGGGGAGCUCCUGGAUGGGUCGGACGCCGACCAUGGUCUCCACCGCAUCGCUGUGUGGCGUUGCUCUCGCCGGGACGGUGGCCUUAGGGUGGCAUGCGGCGGCCUCGGGGCGGAGCAGGCACGGGCCAGGGACGUCGACCACCGGCCGUUGCAGGCGCGUGCCAGAGGCGGCGUCCUUGGGACGGAGAAGACGUGGGCCUGGGACGAUGACCUUGGGGCGGCGGCAGCGACCUUGGGCCCUUGGGGCGGAGCACACGCGGGCUGGCGGCGGCCAGGUUGGGGCGAAGCCGGUCGGGGCCGGCGGCAUCCAUGUUGGGGGCCUCCUUCCUCUCUGCAGGUCGCCCUCCUCUCCUCCACUCCCCUCCUCCUCUCUGGACAGCAAGCCCAUCAAGCCAUCAGCAAGGUCCUCGCGGUCUUGUGAGGGGGUGCCGUUCGUGGUGGCAACGGCGAACUACGGAAUUCAGGACCACGAUGGGAUCCUCGACGGCGUGUUGUUCUCAACAGGCCUCCUGGACGUCCGCCGCGUCGAAAUCUCCGUUGUGGCCGGUUGUGGAUUCUCCUGCGCCGGCAACAUAGAUGAAGGUCGUGGUUCUUCUUCUAGUCCAUCUCUUCUCGGAAGAAGAGGAGUGUGCCUGCUUCCAUGACCCCGAGGAGGGAUUCUUCUCGGCCACUGGCGUCGCGAGCAUCACGACCCUCCCCUCGGAGGCCGCCCUAUCCUAUGCACAUCCCCCGAUGAAGUUGUGAAAGUCCAUCUGAAAUGGCUUUUGCAUCUGCCGCCAAGGCCACCGGAGUAGGCAGAAGUCCGCUCCCGGUGUUGAAGUCCUUCCUCUGCAUCUGUUUUCUUGGUUGGUGGUAGGUCCUGGUUGUUUUAGUUGGAUUUGUUUUUCAUCUGUUUUGCAGAUCGGUCCGGUCUGAUGGUCUGGUGACACACAUAGAGCAAGAAAGGCAAACGUAGUCCUUAUCAUGAUAUCCAUGUCCCAUGUCAGCUAUCAAGCUGGUGCCGGUAGUUAGCGCCUACAUCGCAGCCAAGAAGAGCAAGAGAUAGAAGCUUUCAGAGAUUCUUGAUUACAGUUGAUUGAAGGUUUCUGGGUUUUCGGGCUAUCCAAUCUACUUUUCAGUAUGCACGUGUAUUAUUAACACAAACAGAGAAGGGGCUAAACAUAGGCUGUAUUACUCGGAAUCUUAUCUGCCAUGUACCCUCAUACUUUCCACAUGAAAGGUCGAAGAAAGACUGGACAAGGACUCACUACUGGAAACUCGGUUACUAUUUUUUGUACAAAUACAUUUAGACCAUAGAACUUUUAUACUUGCUGAUAUAAUGAUUAAACAUAUAAUAUAAUCGUGGGAUGAGGUUUCAGCAUUCGGAAGGAAAGGUUAAUGUCUACCAUCAGCUUCUUAUGCUUUCAUUGUUACUCCUGCUGGUUCAGGGGGUCAUGGGCAGAGAUGGUGACAUUUGCCAUCCCGCGUACGGCUAGAAAGCCAGUGAUGCUAACAAGGCAGUGAAACACUGUUUAUAGAAAGCAGUGCAAGUGCUGAUGGAUUCUGCUGCUGUUGCCAUGAGUAAACGGCCUGCCAGUGGUCACCGCCAACACAUCGCUUCAUGUUCUUCGCCUUUGUGUAGGCGGUACAUCGAGAGCUGGGCGAAUUCCUGUUCCACUUCCAAGACAAGUUUGAUGUAUCAGAUACAGAGGCACAACAUGUUGAUCUGGAAUCAAGAAUAAUCACCAAUGCCAAGGUCCUACAAGUCAUCGCUGCUGAAGCCACCCUGCCACUUCGGGACCAACAAGGGAGAUUAUCACCAUCCCCUCAUCUGACGAGAAGGAUGGCGAUGCGGUGUACUAUGGAGCUUCAGACCGACCGCCUGCAGCAGAAUACAGAUAACUUUGGGCACUAGCAGCGUCACAUCUCUGAAUCUUCAGGUUUCUCUCCACGCAGUACCUGCCUUCACUUGGUAGUUUGCCUAGAAAAUGCACAAAUACCCAAAAAGCACUGAAGAUAGAAUUGUAGGCCGCAAUGCGGGACCAGUAUGAUCUGCUUUUGUUUGCCAGUAAAGUGAUCGCUGCUGUCAUCUAUAUUAUGUUGUUGUAGUCAAGCUCUAGCUAGCAUUAGACAUUUUCUGAUGGACAUGGAUCCUUUGAUAUAUAAUGAAGAAGCAUCAGUUAAAUUAUC